rnacentral:piRNA from 1 species
UCUGUGUCCCGAGGACUUGACUCCAACCUC